rnacentral:tRNA from 1 species
GGGGGAUUAGCUCAGCUGGCUAGAGCGCUGCCUUGCACGCAGGAGGUCAUCGGUUCGACUCCGAUAUUCUCCA